CUAGAGCACCCACACUUCAUGGAGGUGACCCUCGCCUCCCCACAAGGCCUCUACCUGCGAGGUUAGUUAGUAAGCUGCAACUGGUGCCUGAUCAGUAGUUUAUUGUAGGAUGAUGACUUACCAUGAAUGAUUGCAAUUUUUUCAGAUGUGAUUGGCCGGCUGGACGCCCUGAGAGGGAAGGGCAUGGUGGCCAAGUAUUCCUGGUCCUGCAAGAGGAGCUACAAGACUGGAUUCGUGUGGCACGAUCUGUCUGUGGAUGAUCUGCUGCUGCUCACGCAAGGAACAGAGUACGUUCUCAAGGGCUCCGAGUUCCCAUUCGACUAGUCAAAGCCUCUGCCAAUGCCAGAUCAUCAGCAGAAUAAUGCAGUAUGUGCAAAGGUUCAGCCCUGCAAGCCGGCUCGACAACAAGAGUCGCCUCGUUCUCCUGGAUCAUCAAACCAAGGGUGGACUUCCAAGUCUCCGUCUCCUACUCCUACAACUUACCCUACAGUUCCAGUCAUCAAAGAGGAAGUACCGCCGCCACCACCACCAACAGCUCGUGCUGCUGUUGUUCCAGCCAUCAAAGAGCACGCGGUGCCACCGCGACUUCCCCAGCUGAUCUCGCCGUCAACACCAUCUGCCUCCACCAUUGGAGAAUGAAGGACACAAACUUUUGAAUUAGACCAAUUGUUUGAUCGAUCAUUUUUGUUCUCUUGAAAACGAUGUAUGGUCAAUUUUAGUAUUCUGAUGUGAUUGAAGAAUAUAGGAGGGACAAAGAGAUGUGCUAUUGCUAGGACAGUUAUGACUCUCCAUUCAGGUAUUCAGGUAUGAUUCUCCAUGGUCGUGCUUGUCCUGUUCACCUGGAAGUUUAUUGAU